GCCAGCCACCAGUCCCUGUCACUGUGCAUCUUUGCCAAGCUAAUGUGCUCCCUGGAGGAUGGGACCAGCACAGAGUCAAGUAAUGACACUUCACCUCCCUGAAGGCAGGAGCCAGGUUAAAGGGGCAUGUUGGAGUGAUUUUAAAUGACAGCUGUGACUGUGACAGGAACCCCCUGUGUUUAUUAUUUGAGACUUUAUGUAAUUGCACUUGAAAUAUUCAUGUGUGUGGAUUCUGUAUAUGCAUGGGUAGUUGCAUGUUGUCUCCAGUGCAUGUACAUAAUCUGUGUCAUGUAUUACAUGUGUUCUAUAUGGGGGCAAGAACAGGUUACACGUUAUAUGUGAUAUACUAAUGUAUGAGUUACAUAUUGUACAGUUUGGGUGUUAACACUUUUUGGGUUUAUGGGCUACAUGUCAGUAUUAUGGCUGCUGUAUUGUUAUAAUUUAUCUGUUGUAUAUUGUAUUUAACUUGCA
rnacentral:lncRNA from 1 species